ensembl:lncRNA
CGUGCUUCCUUCUCUUCCUUCCCCAACCAGGGGAAUUCCUUCUAAUAAAAGUCUACACAGUAACUGGAAGGAAGGAAGGAAGGGAGGGAGGAAGGGAGGCGAGGGAGGAAGGAAGGAAGGAGGGAAGGAAAAAGUGAAAAGAAAGGGGGAGAGGGGAAGAAAAUGAUGAGAACUUUUGAAUGUUUAACAAAAGCAGUUGAAGAGCUACAAACCAGACAUUAAGCCUAAGUACCAGAGAGGAGAGAAUUGUGGAAGGAGGCAGGGUAUGUGGAAGAUGCAUGAACAAAAAGAAUUUCCUCACAAAUCUACAGAGAUUCACCAGGGAGAGGAUGGGAGGCAACAGUCUCAGAGUACUGCCACAAAAGGGAAUUGCACUUCAUGUUUUUUCUGCAUAAAUGCUCUGUCCUGGUUUCUGCGUCUCUGCUUAUGGAUAUCACCCACCAAGGAACCAAGAUGUGUUCUACACAGCCUUCCCUUCUGGCCCUUCUUCUGCCAUCUGAGGAUCAAUCCAGGUCCACAAGUAAAUUACACCGUCCUACCUUGUAAUGCCCAACUAAUUAAACCCAAGAAAGAGUGUAG